UCGAGGUAUGUUCGCAUACUCGAUAAUUAUUUAAGUGUGUAGAAUUGAAGCAUGCAAAUCGAUUUUAAAGAGAGAAGCGAGUGUGAGGAAAGAGAAAUGGUUGCUUGUCUUCAAGGUUCGAAGGAGAAAUGUGGGCAAUUUUCCAAGGAGAAGCGCUUGAACCUGUUUGGGUCGGCUCAGAUUGCUUGUAGAGAGAGAAAAUUGAGAAAAAAAGAGGUGGGUGAGUUGAUUUCUUGGGUCUCGGGUUUGGGUCUUUUCAAUGGGAAUUUAGGGUUCGAAAUGUUGCUGGUAAUCAAAUGGGGUUGCUUUCUGAGUUGAAUUUGAGCUAUGAAGUUACUAAUUAUAGAGGGUCCGAGCUAUUGGGUGAUAAAAAUCAACCCAAUUGAUGUUAUCCUAUUUUUAAUUUGAUUGUUAAGGUGUAAAGAGAGUCGAAAAGGAUAACGAUGUAGACGAGAUUUGUUAGAGUUCUUGCAUAGAGCCAAAAUGAGCAAUGAUGAUGGAACAUAUUUUGGGUUGAAACUUAUUGGGUGGUGAAGAUGAAUUUUGUCUGGUUUAUACAUGGAAACAUUGUUGAAUAUAUGAGUGGUUUUUCAGGUGUAUAAGUGACAUUAUCAACAUAUUCUGUUUUCUAAGUAUUGUCAAAUUUGCUCUAAUCUUAUAUAUUUAGUUGUUUUCUUUGUCAUUUCUAUAUUUGAUUAUUUGAAUACUUAGCUUGCUUGGUAGGCUGAAUUAUGUACUUUAUAUUAUUCAUGAAUGAUGUGUGCAGAUUGCAGUAUUGAAUGUUUGUAUCUUAGUAAAUUGAUGCCUAGCAAGGUCUCGUGGUGAUAUUUGGGGAAUAGAUCAGAUGGUUGUGUGGCUGCAUCUUGUUGAUUUGAUGAAUGUGUUUGAGAAGUAGAUAUGAUUGUGUGAAUGCAUCUUGUUGAUUUUGAUGAAUGUAUUUGAGGAAGAUAUGGUUUUUUGAAUGCUUCUUUUGGAUUUUUAUGAAUGUAUUUGAGGAAUAGAUAUGGUUGUGUGAAUGCUUCUUGUGGAUUUUAAUGAAUGUUAUUGGGAUUUAUCCAUUUAUACUUUAUCUUGCUUCAUCAUAAUGUUGAUUGUGUAUUCGUGUGUGCUCUGCUUCAUUUGUGUGUGCUGCAUUCUUUUGUGGGUUGGGAAAGAUGUGAGAAAAGGAGAAGCUUUCAUCUAUGGCUUUUAUGUUCUUUGUAUUUUUGAAAAUUUUGGAAGUUAAAAAGAACUACUUUAGUUGUUGGAAAGAGGCGGAUGAACGGAAGAAGUUUAAAGUUUAUUUAUUACUUGUAAAACUUUUAUUCUCAAGGCAAGAUAAAGAGAAUAAGGAUAAAAAUUUGGGGAUUAUAAACUGUUAAAAUCUUCAUACUUUAGCAUGUAUAUGUCCUGAUCAAACUUCCCAUAGAAAAGGUUGUUUACAAUAAACCCCCUUACUUAGAGAAGGAGCUUAUAUAAAGGCAUUGGGUUUGGACUUUGGGCAUUAUUGCUGAAUUUUCGAGAAGUUUCAUGCGUACAAUUUAUCACCUUCAUCUUAUCUUAUAAUGGAGAGAAAUAAACUUGUCAAGGUCCAAUUAGACCCUAGGUUGUACGAUUAUGAUGAUCUUUCUGUGUCAUUUGGAAAAUAAAUCUAUUAUCGCUAGGAAUGAAUUUCUAUUUUCAAUAUUUUAAAUUUUAAUUAAUAGAAUUGGCUCAAGCUUUUAUAAACUAAUUGUACUUUGGAAGAGUUUAGAGGCAAUGACUGUUGUUUGAUUGAGCUUUAGAUCUAAUGUGUAUAGCAAUUCCAAUGUUCUUUGGGAUAGUUCCUGUGAUUGACUUAUUGAUCUUGUAGCUGUUAAAGAAUCUCUUGGUAUCUUUUGGAUCGACCUAUUUUUCUAUCAGUAGUUAUCUUACUUAUCUAGUAUUUGGUUUACCAAAUAGUCUUCUAUGAAAUCAAGAGACAUCGUAGUCUGCUAUUUUUUCUCCUACCCAUGUUGAAGUGGUCUAUAGCAAUCUGCAGUUUCAAAUUCGUCAACGUGCUACUAUCUUUAGUUCCAGAUUUUUUUCAAGCACCUUUGCCACACUAUAGGUAUUGUAUUUCUUGGUUAUUGCCAAGGUUGAGUGAAAUUUGACCCCUUUUCUUAAAUGAGAAAUGUCUGAUUUGUUUUAUAGUGUGGUAUAUUUUAUCUCUGGCUUAUCUCAUUAGCUGUAGUGCACAAAAGUUAUGUAGAUCCCAUUUGAUGACAUGAAAGUCACUGUUAUAAUGCUCUUGCGUUAGUGAGCUAGAUCUAAAGUUAACGGGCCUUAUCUUUUGCUUUUUUUAGGUAGAGUAGGGUGUACCCUUACAAAAUUCAGAUGUGUGUGUGUCAUGAUGAUUAGCAGGUCAAUUUUAUGUUACAUCAGCAAAUUAUGAUAAUUACCUAUUUAUCUAUGUUGCUAGUGUCAUUUGUCAAAUGUGUUAACUCUAAUUCUUAAACUUAAGCAUGUUGUUGUUUUGACUCAAGAAUGUCAAUGGAUUUCUAUUAUCUGGUUGUGUGUAUAUUAAUUGACUUUAUAACCAAUUGGUACCUCACAACUCAAUAUUUGGAGUUGGUUUUAGUAUUUGUAAAGUUUUUUGGAUGAUAAUGCUCUUUUCACUUCCAUUUUGUUCAUUUUCCCUAUUAUGCUACAUGUGUUGAUGUCACUCACUAUUUUCUACUGCACCAACUAGUCAUAUAUUAUACUUCGGCAUCAGAGCUAGACAUUAUUCAAGAUAUAUCACGUACUUUCCCGUCUAAUGUCUUCUUCCAGCAAAAGCAUGGUCCUGGUUAGAGAUCACUUUACAUCAUUCUAAAAGCAUAUUAUGUUUAUGACAGAGAUGUUGGAUAUGUUCAGGUUUAUUAUGUCUUGUAACAUCCUUUCAAGUGAGUACAAUGUGUCAACUAUAGAUUUAUUGAUGUUUCUAUUGUCUGGAAUGCAGGGUAUGGGGUUCAUAGCUGGUUUACUACUUUAUAUGACUAAGGAAGAUGAAUUUUGGUUGUUGGUCACAUUGCUUAAAGGAGUUGUUCUUGCCUUGAUGGAAGGAUUAUAUCUGAGUACAUACUAAGGAGGGUUUCAAUGGUAGCUACCACAACCUCUUUGAAUUUCCACAUGGCGGUGUCAGGGACUUCUAUAUAUUUUCUCUGUCCUCAAGGUCACUGAAGGGGUGCUAUUGUUGGGACCGUGGCAAUUAAAGAAGCAUGGGAACUCUGGGUAACUGAUAAGGUGCAAGGUUGCAAAAUGAUUCCUGAGGGUCUUGAAUUCGUGCAGUUCCAUCCAACUGGUAUCUAUGGUCUUGGAUGCCUAAUCACUGAAGGGUCCCGAGGUGGAGGUGGUAUCUUGAGAAAUAGUGAGGGUCUGUAAUGAUCGGUCUUCAGAAUUGAUUCCAUGUUCGGACAUACAUCUUUUACACCAACCGAGAUUGAAGUUGGAUUUACCUUUGAUGGAACACUAUGAAAGGCAUUGCCAUCCUCUAAAAAGGCGCUAUAAUUGUUUGAUUCCUCUGCCACAUGGAUAUAAAGUUUCGAUUAAGGGGCCUAAAAGUAGAGAUAAAGUGUGGAAAGCUAAUUUCCUGGUGGAGGCACUCACUUUCAUUAUGGUGUUGGCAAGUAUAUUGCUGCAAUGGCAAACGUGCUCAACUAAUGUCAUUAACCAUGAAGACAAGCUGGGGACUAUUCUUGAUGUGGGAUAUGAUGUUGCAAGUUUUGGAGGUUAUCUUCUCUCAUCUGAUGUCGUAACUAUGUCCUUGGCAUCGAAUGAUGUUCUCCAAAGCUUUUGCAGAUUAGGUGGGAAGCAAGCAAGGUAAUUUUGGCUGUUACUAUUUGUAUGAGAACCUUAAGCAAUAUGAGGAUACUUUUAGUCAUAAUCAGAAGAUCUUCAUGGCGUCCCCCAUGCUCUCCCUAGGCGUCUUGAUAGUACUUGUGGUGUAAUAUCGUGUGUACUCCUCUACAUAAAAGAUGAUUUCCUGGAGGUCAAAGAAAACAUAUUCUUGCAGAUACAAUGAUCAUUAACAAUUUGUUUUGGGAAAAUGUUGAAGGAUGUAAAGUUAAAAGAUGAUGGUUCUCUUGAGAGAUACUAGGCAAGGCUUGUAGCUAAAGGCUUUACUUAGAGAUAUGGAUUUGACAAAAUACUCUAGUAUUGUUUGAUUAUAUCAUUGUUAUUUUUAGUUUUAGUUUGGUUGUGCUCAAUCUGAAUUCGUUGGAAGUUGAUUUGUCUGUCUAAUCUUUAUGUGAAUUCCAGCAAUCAUUGUUUAAAAACGAUAUUUGACAUGCCUUUGGUGUGUUAGUUUGUCAUACUUUGGUAAUGCAAAUUGUGCAAUCGAUGACUUCA